rnacentral:rRNA from 1 species
GACGAACGCUGGCGGCGUGCUUAACACAUGCAAGUCGAACGAUGAAGCCUAGCUUGCUUGGUGGAUUAGUGGCGAACGGGUGAGUAAUACGUGAGUGACCUACCUUUGACUCUGGGAUAAGCCUGGGCAACUGGGUCUAAUACCGGAUACGACCAAUCUCCGCCUGGGGUGUUGGUGGAAUGUGCUAUGGUGUGGCUUUAGAUGGGCUCACGGCCUAUUAGCUUGUUGGUGAGGUAAUGGCUUAACAAGGCGACGACGGUUAGCCGGCCUGAGAGGGUGACCGGCCACACUGGGACUGAGGCACGGCCCAGGCGCCUACGUGAGGCAGCGGUGGGAAAUAUUGCACAAUGGACGCAAGGCGGAUGCAGCGACGCCGCGUGGGGGAUGACGGCCUUCGGGUUGUAAACCUCUGUGAGCAUCGAAGAGGCGAAAGUGACGGUAGGUGCAGAGAAAGCGCCGGCUAACUACUU